rnacentral:rRNA from 1 species
UCCGUAGGCGGGCUAAUAAGUCAGGGGUGAAAUCCCACAGCUCAACUGUGGAACUGCCUUUGAUACUGAUAGUCUCGAGUUAUAUGGAAGUAGAUAGAAUGUGUAGUGUAGCGGUGAAAUGCAUAGAGAUUACACAGAAUACCGAUUGCGAAGGCAGUCUACUACGUAUAUACUGACGCUAAUGGACGAAAGCGUGGGGAGCGAACAGGAUUAGAUACCCUGGUAGUCC